UUAGCCGACAAGGGUGAGAAAAGCCAUGUUAUAAGGAAGGUCAGCUAGCAAGAGCCCUGGAUGACCAUUAUGUACUGUCCAUGCUGAGACGGAGAAUGAACUCUUCCCCAAGGUUUUUAUUCCUUCCCUUUUCUCCCUGAUAUGCCGCUGCACAGCUUGAUGGGCCAGGGCGCUUUCCUCACAAAACCAAAGGAGCUGCAGGAGACAACUGGCAAGUGAGGAAGGAGCCUGGGAGAGCCCCGUCCCUCUCCGUCACUACAAUGGACAUGUUAUAUUAUGG